rnacentral:rRNA from 1 species
UGAGGAACAUGACCUUCGGCGGGGGAUAGCCGGCCCAACGGCCGGGUAAUACCGCGUACGACCUUUCGGGGACAUCCCUGGGUGGUGAAAGCAGCAAUGCGCCGAUGGAGUGCCUCGCGGCCUAUCAGCUAGUUGGUGAGGUAACGGCUCACCAAGGCGACGACGGGUAGCUGGUCUGAGAGGAUGGCCAGCCACAUUGGGACUGAGACACGGCCCAGACUCCGUACGGGGAGNAGCG